rnacentral:rRNA from 1 species
GAUGAACGCUGGCGGCGUGCCUAAUACAUGCAAGUCGAGCGAACGGACGAGAAGCUUGCUUCUCUGAUGUUAGCGGCGGACGGGUGAGUAACACGUGGAUACCUACCUAUAAGACUGGGAUAACUUCGGGAAACCGGAGCUAAUACCGGAUAAUAUUUUGAACCCCAUGGUUCAAAAGUGAAAGACGGUCUUGCUGUCACUUAUAGAUGGAUCCGCGCGGCAUUAGCUAGUUGGUAAGGUAACGGCUUACCAAGGCAACGAGGCAUAGCCGACCUGAGAGGGUGAUCGGCGACACGGGAACGGAGACACGGUCAAGACUCCUACGGGAGGCAGCAGUAGGGAAUCUUCCGCAAUGGGCGAAAGCCUGACGGAGCAACGCCGCGUGAGUGAUGAAGGUCUUCGGAUCGUAAAACUCUGUUAUUAGGGAAGAACAUAUGUGUAAGUAACUGUGCACAUCUUGACGGUACCUAAUCAGAAAGCCACGGCUAACUACGUG